AAGUCGAACGGGCUCUUCGGAGCUAGUGGCGGACGGGUGAGUAACACGUGAGAAUCUGCCUUCAGGACGGGGACAACAGCGGGAAACUGCUGCUAAAACCCGAUGAGCCGAGAGGUAAAAGUAUUAAUAGCCUGAAGAUGAGCUCGCGGCCGAUUAGUUAGUUGGUGGGGUAAGAGCCUACCAAGGCGGCGAUCGGUAGCCGGUCUGAGAGGACGAUCGGCCACACUGGGACUGAGACACGGCCCAGACUCCUACGGGAGGCAGCAGUGGGGAAUUUUCCGCAAUGGGCGAAAGCCUGACGGAGCAAGACCGCGUGCGGGAGGAAGGCUCUUGGGUCGUAAACCGCUUUUCUCUGGGAAGAAGAUCUGACGGUACCAGAGGAAUAAGCCUCGGCUAACUCCGUGCCAGCAGCCGCGGUAAUACGGAGGAGGCAAGCGUUAUCCGGAAUCAUUGGGCGUAAAGCGUCCGCAGGUGGCAUAGCAAGUCUUCUGUCAAAGAUUGGAGCUUAACUCCAAAAAGGCAGGGGAAACUGCCAAGCUAGAGAGCGGUAGGGGUAGAGGGAAUUCUCGGUGUAGCGGUGAAAUGCGUAGAGAUCGGGAAGAACACCAGUGGCGAAAGCGCUCUGCUGGACCGCGACUGACACUGAGGGACGAAAGCUAGGGGAGCGAAUGGGAUUAGAUACCCCAGUAGUCCUAGCCGUAAACGAUGGAAACUAGGUGUUGUUCGUAUCGACCC
rnacentral:rRNA from 1 species